AGAGUUUGAUCAUGGCUCAGGAUGAACGCUAGCUACAGGCUUAACACAUGCAAGUCGAGGGGAAACGACAUCGAAAGCUUGCUUUUGAUGGGCGUCGACCGGCGCACGGGUGAGUAACGCGUAUCCAACCUGCCCACCACUUGGGGAUAACCUUGCGAAAGUAAGACUAAUACCCAAUGAUAUCUCUAGAAGACAUCUGAGAGAGAUUAAAGAUUUAUCGGUGAUGGAUGGGGAUGCGCCUGAUUAGCUUGUUGGCGGGGUAACGGGCCCACCAAGGCGACGAUCAGUAGGGGUUCUGAGAGGAAGGUCCCCCACAUUGGAACUGAGACACGGUCCAAACUCCUACGGGAGGCAGCA
rnacentral:rRNA from 1 species